rnacentral:misc_RNA from 1 species
AUUCAGCUAAACAAAAGGAGGAAAACAUAAUUCUUUAAAGGGAAUUGAAAGCUGAAGAUGUGAAACAGAUGAGCCAUAAGCACAUUUCGAUUUAUCUUUUCCCCUCUUAUGAGUGUAUACACACAUAACCCUGUGAGUUUUCUAGCCAAAAAAACAUACUGGUCAGAGAAUCCUAAUGCUCUGUUUAUCUUUUACCUUUUUUUUUUUAUACAAAAGAAUAAACAAAUGAAGAUAUUUCAUUAUCGAAGGUGAGAAAACACAAUUAACAGGAUAAUAUAAACUCCAUCCAUGCUCACCCUCAAAGGCCUCAUCUUCUAUGCCAAGGGCUCCUAUACAAGAUACUAGCCAAUUCUGGUGCUUGAAGAUAGAAACAGGUUACAUAUAUGCUGCUGAUUCAUGAGAGGAAUUUUGCCUUCACCUGUCUUGCCUGAAUAUUAUUAUGUCCCUUUGUCUGAAGCGCGAAAGACAUAGCUCGAAGCCUAUUUGUUAUCUCUGUAAAUGAUGGUCGAGAUUCAGGUUCAGGUGACCAGCACUGUUCCAUCAGCGUCCUCCACUCAGGAUCACAACAUUCCGGAAUAGGAGGCCGAAGAGUGUUUUUAACAAUGCCACCGAUGAUAGCACCACAAUGCAUAUCUGCAUAAGGUUCCUCCCCAGUCAAGAUCUCCCAUAGAGAAAUGCCAAAUGAGAAAACAUCAACCUUCUCAGAAACCCGACUGCUGCUCCCAUUCAACAAUUCUGGUGCCAUCCAUGGAAGGGUACCUCGCACGCCACCAGAUACAAGAGUAUUCCGUUUGAUUCUUGAUAGACCAAAAUCUCCAACCUUGCAGAUGGGUCUUUGUGGAUCCCUUAAAUUGACAAGCAAAUUGUCACAUUUCAGAUCAAAGUGGACUAUAUUUUUCGAGUGCAAGUAUUCCAUUCCAAAAGCUGCAUCCAUUGCAAUUAUAAGUUUUUUGCGGCGAUCAAGUGAUCUAUCCUUCUUAAGUAGGACAUGCCUAAGUGAUCCAUUGACCAUAUAUUCAGUCACAGUGGCUAAGGUUCCUCCAGCCCCAUCUGGAACUACCCCAUAAAAUGCAACCACAUUUGGAUGAUGAAGAUUUGAGAGGAUCUGUGCUUCUCUCCAAAAGUCUUUUGUCAAACGUUCUUGCUCUGAUGACCUCCCCGAAAAGCAGCUCUUUUUAAUUCUUUUUAUGGCAACAUCUGUUCCACGCCAUUUUCCAUGGUAGACAGUGCCAUAUGUGCCAGAUCCUAACUCUCUUAGUUCUUCGAGAUCAGCAUUCUUUAUAAUCUGCAAGCCAUAGAUGCUAGCUUCCAUUUCAGCUAUCACUGCAUCCGUAAUAGAUUUAUCCUUAUCUCCACUAUCAUCCUUUAUGUCCUCAAACUCAGUUUCUGGCAUGAUACUUUCAGAUAUUGUAGCAGAAGGAGAUAUAAAAUCAGAGCUGGUUGGAUCAGCAACAUAUGGGCGAACAUGUGGGAUGAUACUCUCUGAAUCUGUUGCUUUAGGAGGCAUAAGGUCACUGCUGGUUGGAUCAGUAACGGGCAUAGAAAGAUGUGGCAUAAUGCUUUCUACCCCAACUGCCGAAGAAGAACCAAAAUCACUGUUGACUGAGUCAGCAUCGUGUGGGACAACUGCACCAGAAGAUUGAAUGGUACAAGGCACAUUACCAGUCAAAGAUUCCACAGUAAAUAAUGGCUCCAGCUUAUUUUGAUCUUUAUUUUUACUUGAUGUUUUUGUUUGUGCUGACAUAAUAUUCCCAACAUUUGACUUCUCAUAAGCAGAUCCACCAAGACCCAACUUCUCAGCCUUCUGAUCAGGGUAACUUCCAUGGUCCUCGACAAGGUGAGAAACCUCUCUCUCAUAUGAAGCAUCGUUAGUGCAAUUAACUGCUGCAGCAUGAAUUUCAUUCACAUGCAAGGUUGUAUUUGCACCAGAGUCAUCAUGAACAACAGAUUGGUAUGAUUUUGUAGAGCUUAUGAGCAAGGAAUCUUUGUUAUCCUUACCAUUUUGACUUUCAAGGGGUUGAACUGGUGCUGAUUCAUGGGAAAAUGAAUCUUUAGAUGAUCCAGAGGUAAGAUCAACCAAACAACUUUCACCACGAGGGUGCAUCUUGGCAUUUUUAAAUAACUCCUCAACUUCUGGAAUGCUGUUCCUUGGGAUGUUGCUUCCUUGUUCACCAUUCACUUUUCCAUGCAAACUGCUGUUUUGGUCGCUUGCAGUCCUCUGGUCCAUCAAUAGGAGAUCAGAAGGGGUUUGAUAGUUCUGGGAGUGCUCCAAGAAGUUGUCUACAGAAGGUUUGAAAUCAAUGGCUGAGGAUGCAGAGAGCCCAUCCUCAGAAAUGUUCAUAUUGUGUCCCAAUACAUCAAUUUCAGAUCUUGAGUUACAGUUGACAUGAGGUGAUUUGUUCUUGUAUUUCAUACCUGCGACUGAUAAUUUCUUGUCACAAGGUCUUUCAGCUUGGUAACAAAAUGGAUUAAUUUUUUCAACUGCAUUCAUCAUUUCUGAAUUCAAUUCCACGCGACCCUUUGGAAUUUGGCAUUGAUCAUCAGCAAUGGUAGUAGCUUUCUGAAUGGGUUCAUUCCUUCCUGCUGAUUUUGAGCAUGAAGAAAAAUUCAGCAAAUCCAACAUAUCCUGUGAGAAAGUAGACUCAAUGUCCAGUAACUUACUUUGUAGGGAAGGAUUGACAAAAUUAAAAUUCUUGCGCAGCUGCUCAGGCUUUUCUUGUGAAGAACUUGAGACCAUUGAAGAUAAUUGUGUCUUGGAAAAGUUCAACGGAGAUGAUGGGCUCAUCCCCUCUUGUGAACAGUAAGCAGACCGCAUCCCAUGCUCUUGUAGCUUUGAAUCUGAAAAGGCAUGUGGCAUUCCAUGAUGAGAAUCAAUGGAGUCUACAGACGCUGACAACAGACCCAAAGGAUCAUCUGGGCCCAAGAAAGGCUUCUCAGAGUGGAUUGCCCUUUCCUUGUGCAUAGGCCUCCCCCCAGAGAAACCAUCAAAAUUGACUUCACUCUGAUGAAAAACUGAAGGGGUCAGAUGUUCUGUGCCAAGAUUAUGGCUGUGGGAUUGCACUCCAUGUGGUUGGUCUGCCUGAAGAUUAUCAACAUUUUUGCAAUGAUUCAUCAAAGCUACCAGCCCUUGAGUGGGUUGUUUGCAAACAGUAGAUGUGCUGCAGUUAUCAGGUGGCAGCUGAGCAGUAAUGAAGGAACUACAGCUCUCAACACUGGAGUUAGCACCAUUAGAUUUUACGUGAGAAUUCCUAGAGUCUCGGUGCUGUAUAGGAAUUGGAGAAAUAGGAGGAGACCGAUAGGGAGGUUUGGUCAUAUAGUGGAAUUCAUUGGAAAAUCUAGGAGGAUGAAAUGCAUUAAAACCUGCUUUAGCCUCCAAAGGAAAAAGAGGAGAUGGAGAAUGUUUACGAAAGCUUGGAUGGUGAUCUGAAAUAUUUCCAGGUUGACUUGCUUCACUCGCUGAACCCUGCCCACUGGAGUUUUCCCUAGGACUAGGAUCUAAUACGCCAUUUACAGCAAGAACAUAGUGGUAGUUGGGGCUGUCCUGCUGGAUGGCAGCUCCAUCAAAAGAAGAUGACUUUUCAGAUUCACCCAGAGGAAUCAAAAAUAUUCGAAGCCUUUGAGAACCCUCUAGCUUUUCAAGUCCAUGGUAUUCCUCUAUCAUAUUUUGAAGAUCUUCAUCAGAAGACACAGAUAUAAGAGCAUCAAGAUCCUCACCUGGAAGCUGAUACUUGAUGGAGUGAGGUUGGUUGCAAAUACCUUUAGUUUUCUUGACAAGUUCAUACCAUGUAAGAUUCUUAGAAAUGGAAAUAAUGCGGGUCUCUCCUCCCACAUAUCUUAGCUUUCCAUCACUGGGCCUUGGCAAAAUCUUACCCCCAGAACUGCAAAGGAACUUCAUCUUUCCAGGUUGAGAUAUAUCUGAAGAAGGGGAUUCUAGCGCAUGAAAGACUGAAGCAGAUGGACCCAAACCAGCACCCCUAUCACAAUUCAAUUUACUGAGAACCUUCCCUGAUCUAUUUACAGUAUCGCCAUCUUCCAUUUUCAGUCUGUUUAACUUGUCAGCAUAUGCCCCACUUUCAGUUUCCAUUGAAGACUCUUUUGCAGACACAAAAUCAGAAAUAUCAUCAGCAGACUCAGAAUCCAUUCUAUUUAACCCAAGUAUAUGAGCAAGAUCCUCAUAUCCCCGCUGAUGAAUUUGAUCAUUAAAAUGACCAAAUCUGCUUUCACAAUUUUGAGCUGUACUGGGCAAAGGGCAAAUCCCUCUGGUGGUCACUCGAUCCUGGAGAAACUCCAUGGAAAAUUCUUCACCUGUCUGCAUGGAUAUAUUAUGUACAUUUUUUCCUGACUUGGGAAUAAAAGAUGCCAGUUCCUGUUGUUGUUGAAUCCUUCUACUGGAGGGACUAGGCGCCUCACUGGUCAUUGAAUCAGACAAGUUCUUGGACUUAUUUAGCUGCACAAUAGCAUUGCAUGUCUCUUUGAUGCAGUAUAUCCUCUCCAACAAGCAAAUGAAUAACACAGAGAUAACCAGCUCCUUAUCUCCACGAAAUGGACUCAAAUCCAACUUUUACACACCAUUUAAUAGGAUCCAACUUUCACAAUAACAAAUAUACUUUCACACAAUAUAUGACCAUUAACACUCCAUGUACACAAUUUAUAACUUCACAAUCAAACCAAUGUAGAUAAAAUGCCCGCAACCCUCUCACUUCAUUCUCAAUCAAACCUAGCACAUUUAUACACAUUAAAAAAAAGAAAAAAAAUCUCUAUUUUCAAAAUUCACUCUACAAUGGACAACCGGAACUUAAAAAACCCAAAUGAAGAAAUUAAGCUAUAUACAUCCAUACCCGUUCAAUCACCACUCUCCUUAUUUCCACCCACGAAGGCCACAUUCAGAAUCGCAAAUCCCACAGAUCCAAAAGGCAAAAUUGCUUUUACGAGAAUCAAUAAACACCAAUCCACCCUAUACCGUACGAUCUCCUGAUUCUUAAUUUCUGUAUCUAUCGCUCUCUAUGUAUUAACAGUGGAUGUAAUGAGCCUCAGAGCUGCCAUUGCUGGAACUGCAUGGGAAGUAAUGGAUUGGCAGGAUCGAAACAGAAGAAGGGAGAGGACAUGGAAUCCGAAAUUUUGUUGAAAGGGGCAAGGGAAAGAAUAGAGGAGAAGAGAAAAGAGCGAGGCUUACGCCUGGAGGAGGAUCAACAUCCCUCGGGUAUGGGGAUUGAGAGGAGAGCGACAUUGCCGAGAAAUCAGCGGCAUCGACACUAGAGAAAUUAAAAA